UAAAGUAAUAAGAAUGAGUAG
rnacentral:piRNA from 1 species